rnacentral:rRNA from 1 species
GACAGAGGUGCCAAGCGUUAGGCGGAAUCACUGGGCUUAAAGCGUGUGUAGGCGGAUGCCUAAGUACCUUGUGAAAUCCCACGGCUCAACCGUGGAACUGCUGGGUAUACUGGGUGUCUUGGGUCAGCUAGGGGUUGCCGGAACAAAUGGUGGAGCGGUGAAAUGCGUAGAUAUCAGGAGGAACACCUGUGGCGAAAGCGGCUCACUGGACCAUAACUGACGCUGAUGCACGAAAGCUAGGGGAGCAAACAGG